GACGAACGCUGGCGGCGUGCUUAACACAUGCAAGUCGAACGGAAAGGCCCUGCUUGCAGGGUACUCGAGUGGCGAACGGGUGAGUAACACGUGGGUGAUCUGCGCUGCACUUCGGGAUAAGCCUGGGAAACUGGGUCUAAUACCGGAUAGGAGCCAUUUUUAGUGUGAUGGUUGGAAAGUUUUUUCGGUGUAGGAUGAGCUCGCGGCCUAUCAGCUUGUUGGUGGGGUAAUGGCCUACCAAGGCGGCGACGGGUAGCCGGCCUGAGAGGGUGGACGGCCACAAUGGGACUGAGAUACGGCCCAGACUCCUACGGGAGGCAGCAGGGGGGAAUAUUGCACAAUGGGGGCAAGCCUGAUGCAGGGACGCCGCGUGGGGGAUGACGGCCCUCGGGUUGUAAACUCCUUUCGCUAGGGACGAAGCUUUUUGUGACGGUACCUAGAUAAGAAGCACCGGCUAACUACGUG
rnacentral:rRNA from 1 species